AACGCUGGCGGCGUGCCUAACACAUGCAAGUCGAACGAGAAAGUGGAGCUAUCCAUGAGUAAAGUGGCGACCGGGUGAGUAACACGUGACCAAUCUACCUUUGAGUGGGGGAUAACCUCGGGAAACCGGGGCUAAUACCGCAUAAUAUCUCUGGAUCGGAAGAACUGGAGAUCAAAGGAGCAAUUCGCUUAAGGAGGAGUUCGCGGCUGAUUAGCUAGUUGGCGGGGUAAUGGCCCACCAAGGCAAAGAUCGGUAGCCGGCCUGAGAGGGCGCACGGCCACACUGGAACUGAAACACGGUCCAGACUCCUACGGGAGGCAGCAGUGGGGAAUUUUGCGCAAUGGGGGAAUCCCUGACGCAGCAACGCCGCGUGGAGGAUGAAGUCCCUUGGGACGUAAAUUCCUUUCGACCCGGACGAUAAUGACGGUACGGGUGGAAGAAGCCCCGGCUAACUUCGUGCCAGCAGCCGCGGUAAUAAGGU
rnacentral:rRNA from 1 species